rnacentral:rRNA from 1 species
AAGCAAAUUGCCGAUGGCAAAGAAGUAGAUGUCUCAAGCAAGAAGCCAGGAAGAGCUGGCCAAAAGAGAAAGGAGCUGGAUCUAGCGAGGACCUCAAUAAUCCCACUGAAUAAAAGAAGGACAAUUCGAUCACUGGCACGGUCUCUAGGUGUGGCCCGAUCGACCCUACAUAAGAGGUUCCAGUUGAAUGAGCUCAACCGCAUCACAAGCACCGUGAAGCCUCACCUCAAGCCAGAGAACAAGCUUGCGAGAUUGAAAUUUUGUAUGUCCAUGCUCGAUGACAAUUCGGUCUCAACUUCUCAGGCUAUGUUUAAGCCAAUGACCAAUAUGGUUCACAUAGAUGAAAAGUGGUUUGACAUGACGAGAGUGAAGAAUAGUUACUAUGUACUUCCAGGAGAACCUGAACCCAAGCGCACCAUUCCAAACACUCGCAGCAUUGGGAAGGUAAUGUUCCUAACAGAUGUGGCCAGGCCUCGAUAUAACAAUGAGGGGGAGCUAACAUUCGAUGGGAAGAUCGGCAUUUGGGCAUUCAUCAAAGAGACUGAGGCGGUGCGGACAAGUCAGAACAGAGCAAAGGGAACAAAAGUGUUGAAAUCAGUGAAAGUAACCAGGCCUGUGUGCAGAGAUUAUCUAAUCAAUAAGGUUAUCCCAGCAAUUUAG